GGGGGUCUCUGUCACUUUUAUAUAAUGAGCAAUCCAGUUCAAGUGGCAUAUAUAGUGGUGGGGUCCUCCUGGGGAGAGGUUGGAUCCGCCUCCACGUGUAGGUUGGGGACACGUCAUCGGUCAUUUGGGUUGAAUUGAAUCUGGCUUUGCAACCCCAACCAACUGUUCUGUAACUGUUUGUAGAGAGAUUGACCUGCAAGAAAAUGCUGUGGCCCUUGAUCCUCAUAUACUCCGUGAUGACUGCUUUUUCCGAUCGGACAAUCUCAACCCUUGAUUCGUUUCAGUGUCAAAUGGUAAGCACUACAAAGGUGGCAUAUGUUACGUUGCUAUGUCCAAUUUGGUUGAAUGUUGAACUAGUAACUUCAUAAUGGUUCUCUACUUUUUUUUAUUAUACAUAAAAUAUGUUAACGAGAAAAAGAGAAAACAAAUAGUAAAGAACAAACAGCUUUCAUCACAAGAAAAAAAAAAAAACAGUAAAGCUAACAACACCGUAUCAAAGCAGCAACAACAAACACAAACUAUUCAUAGGUAUAUUCUAUUCCCGUAAAAUAAGCUCAUUAAUUAGCAGGGGAAUGAGUGAUUUUCCAAGAACUCAAUAGAAUUCCAACAAUGGGAUGGGAGGCAAGGUUACAACGAGGAUACAACGUACAUGGAUGUAUACAGCUUCGGGAUACUUUUGUUAGAGAUGUUCACAGAAAAAUGUCCCACCAACGACCUGCUUAAAGACGGACUACAACUCCAUAACUUUGUUAGCAAAGCAUUGCCUGAACAAAUAUCCGAAGUUUUAGACCCAUCGUUUGUUGAAGGAGGGGAAGGAGAGGAUGAGGAAUCAACUUGCAAAGACAAAAGUAUCGUGGGGCAGCGAAAAGAUGAACUGAACCAGGACUGCCUGAUCGAAAUAUUCAGAAUCGGAGUUGCUUGUUCAGUGUACUCCCCGUGAGAGAGAAUGGAUAUUAAUCAUGUUGUGAAGGAAUUGCUGCAAUCAAAGACACACUUAUUGGAUCUGCAUUGAAUUAAGGCCAAUGCAGCAGUGACACAAUAGAAGAGAAGAAGCGAUGUCUUCAAAAGGGAAACAGAAUGUCUUUUAUUUUUCAAACGAAAGGAAAAAUAUAUUGCAUAAACAGAUUAUAUAACUAUUGCUUGUUCUGCUAUAUAAAAUACAGAAUUCAUAUGUCUUUCUUUAUUUUUCAAACAUGAUACAAAACUAUGCUUUUAUUAAUAAUCUAUAUGUAGAUGAGGCCUGCACGUUGAGAUUAAUAAUCUAUAUGCUUCUUCUUCUUCUCAAACCGAGGUACGAGUCUCUGAUAGUCUUCAUUUUGUUCACAACGACAUCCAUAUGCAUCCGCUCUCCUCGUGAAAUCGCAGAGCAUGAAAGCCCUAUCUGCAUCAUCGAAACCAAGCACUCCUCCAAUUUUCUUCCUUGGACUAGGUCGUAAUCCUGAUGUCUUGCAAUCGGUCUUUCUUGUAUGUCAUUUCUGUAUCUGCUAUCAGCAGCUUCCAUGUCAUCUCCUUAUGUCAAUGACAUGGUCAGGCAAUGCCAUAGCAGUAAAUUGGUGAAUGCUUAUACCAUCUCUGAACAUGUCACCAGUAGGUCUUUUUCCUGU